ACGGGAGGCAGCAGUGAGGAAUAUUGGUCAAUGGGCGGAAGCCUGAACCAGCCAAGUCGCGUGAAGGAUGAAGGUAUUAUGUAUUGUAAACUUCUUUAGACGUAGAGAAAUAAGGGGGUCGUGACCUCUGAUGCUAGUAUACGUAGAAUAAGGAUCGGCUAACUCCGUGCCAGCAGCCGCGGUAAUACGGAGGAUCCGAGCGUUAUCCGGAUUUAUUGGGUUUAAAGGGUGCGCAGGCGGUCUUUUAAGUCAGAGGUUAAGUCGUGGAGCUUAACUCCAUACCGCCAUUGAUACUGGAGAACUUGAUUGCGGUUGAGGUUGGCGGAAUUCGCCGUGUAGCGGUGAAAUGCAUAGAUAUGACGAAGAACACCGAUUGCGUAGGCAGCUGACCAAGCCGUAAAUGACGCUCAUGCACGAAAGUGCGGGGAUCGAACAGGAUUAGAUACCCUGGUA
rnacentral:rRNA from 1 species